AGAGUUUGAUCCUGGCUCAGGAUGAACGCUGGCGGCGUGCUUAACACAUGCAAGUCGAACGAACCUUCGGGUUAGUGGCGGACGGGUGAGUAACACGUGAGAAUCUGCCCUCAGGAGGGGGAUAACGGUUGGAAACGACCGCUAAUACCCCAUAUGCCGAAAGGUGAAAUGAAUUUCGCCUGAGGAUGAGCUCGCGUCUGAUUAGCUAGUUGGUGAGGUAAUGGCUCACCAAGGCUUCGAUCAGUAGCUGGUCUGAGAGGAUGAUCAGCCACACUGGGACUGAGACACGGCCCAGACUCCUACGGGAGGCAGCAGUGGGGAAUUUUCCGCAAUGGGCGAAAGCCUGACGGAGCAACGCCGCGUGAGGGAUGAAGGCCUCUGGGCUGUAAACCUCUUUUCUCAAGGAAGAAGAUAUGACGGUACUUGAGGAAUAAGCCACGGCUAAUUCCGUGCCAGCUGUCGGGUUAAUACGGGAGUGGCAAGCGUUAUGCGGAAUUAUUGGGCGUAAAGCGUCCGCAGGCGGCCUUUCAAGUCUGCUGUAAACACGUGGAGCUUAACUCCAUCAUCGCAGUGGAAACUGUUGGGCUUGAGUGUGGUAGGGCAGAGGGAAUUCCCGGUGUAGCGGUGAAAUGCGUAGAUAUCGGGAAGAACACCAGUGGCGAAGGCGCUCUGCUGGGCCAUAACUGACGCUCAUGGACGAAAGCCAGGGGAGCGAAAGGGAUUAGAUACCCCUGUAGUCCUGGCCGUAAACGAUGAACACUAGGUGUCGGGGGAAUCGACCCCCUCGGUGUCGUAGCCAACGCGUUAAGUGUUCCGCCUGGGGAGUACGCACGCAAGUGUGAAACUCAAGGAAUUGACGGGGGCCCGCACAGCGGUGGAGUAUGUGUUACUUCGAUGCACGCGAAGAUCUACCAGAUUUGACAUUCUGCGACUCUAGAAUUUGAGGUGCUCGGUACGCAUGACCGUGUUGCAUGGCUGUCGUUUGCUCGUGUCGUGAGAUGUUGGGUUAAGUCCCGCAACGAGCGCAACCCACGUUUUUAGUUGCCAGCAUUUAGUUGGGCACUCUAGAAAGACCGCCGGUGAUAAACCGGAGGAAGGUGUGGAUGACGUCAAGUCAUCAUGCCCCUUACAUCCUGGGCUACACACGUACUACAAUGCUACGGACAAAGGGCAGCAAACUCGCGAGAGCAAGCAAAUCCCAUAAACCGUGGCUCAGUUCAGAUCGUAGGCUGCAACUCGCCUACGUGAAGUAGGAAUCGCUAGUAAUCGCAGGUCAGCAUACUGCGGUGAAUACGUUCCCGGGCCUUGUACACACCGCCCGUCACACCAUGGAAGUUGGCCAUGCCCGAAGUCGUUACUCCAACCCUUGUGGAGGAGGACGCCGAAGGUGGGGCUAAUGACUGGGGUGAAGUCGUAACAAGGUAACC
rnacentral:rRNA from 1 species